AGAGUUUGAUCAUGGCUCAGAACGAACGCUGGCGGCAUGCCUAACACAUGCAAGUCGAACGUGAUCCAGGCCUUCGGGUCUGGUGAAAGUGGCAGACGGGUGAGUAACGCGUGGGAACCUGCCCAAUGGUAGGGAAUAACCGCGGGAAACUGCGGCUAAUACCCUAUGUGCCCUAUGGGGCAAAGAUUUAUCGCCAUUGGAGGGGCCCGCGUCGGAUUAGGUAGUUGGUAGGGUAACGGCCUACCAAGCCAUCGAUCCGUAGCUGGUCUGAGAGGAUGAUCAGCCACACUGGGACUGAGAUACGGCCCAGACUCCUACGGGAGGCAGCAGUGGGGAAUAUUGGACAAUGGGGACAACCCUGAUCCAGCAAUGCCGCGUGAGUGAUGAAGGCCUUCGGGUUGUAAAGCUCUUUCGGCGGGGAAGAUGAUGACGGUACCCGCAGAAGAAGCCCCGGCUAACUUCGUGCCAGCAGCCGCGGUAAUACGAAGGGGGCUAGCGUUGUUCGGAAUUACUGGGCGUAAAGGGCGCGUAGGUUGUGCUGUAAGUCAGGCGUGAAAUCCCCGGGCUCAACCUGGGAAUUGCGCAUGAUACUGCGGCGCUUGAAGACGGGAGAGGAUGGCGGAAUUCCCAGUGUAGAGGUGAAAUUCGUAGAUAUUGGGAAGAACACCGGUGGCGAAGGCGGCCAUCUGGCCCGUAAUUGACGCUGAGGCGCGAAAGCGUGGGGAGCAAACAGGAUUAGAUACCCUGGUAGUCCACGCCGUAAACGAUGAGUGCUAGACGUCGGGGGGCUUGCCCUUCGGUGUCGACGCUAACGCAUUAAGCACUCCGCCUGGGGAGUACGGUCGCAAGAUUAAAACUCAAAGGAAUUGACGG
rnacentral:rRNA from 1 species